CGAGCUUCAACUACAGGAGUCACUCAACACAAAGGUGGAAGUAUUCCUAAUACUAAGCAUAAGAGGAGACUGGCUUUGGAGUUAGGAAGAGACCCUUCUAUGUUUGAAUUGUUCAAGAGGACACAUUUAAAUGACAAAACUGGAAAAUUUGCAGACCAGCAAGCGGAAUUAGCUCAUGAUGAGUUCAUGAGAAGAAAGGCAGAACUAAGUUCUGAAAGAGGCUCUCCAAGCGUGCAAUCUAAUCAGGAAGAAUUUAACAUAUGGUUAGAUG